CCAAAACAUAUUAUCUGUCAAGAAAUUGAAGGAUAAUAUGAUCAAUUAAAUUAAAUAAUAGAAGAAGACACUAAAAUAGGAAUAAGAGUGAGGAUAAGAAAAAAAACUUUAUUGAACUGGAACAAACAAAAUCCAAGCCUCUGUUUGAUAGUAUCAAUCUUAUCUUUACUAUGCUCACAAAAUGAAGGGCCAAUUUUUCAGUUGUAAGUUUUCUAAUAAACCACCAAAAUUAGUGUUCCCAUUACUAGCAGGAUUCAAUACUAAUGUAUAUAUUCACCAUAAGUUACCA
rnacentral:lncRNA from 1 species